AAAUUAUCUCUUAAUCUCAUGGCAAGAAAUGCAUGGGGAAUUAGCCGGCCUCUUGAAUAUCAAAGUUAAACAAGGCGAUCCUAUUUAAAGUUCUAUAAAUACAUCUUAGUUUAGGCACAUAUAAGCACUAAACCCAAAGACUUGAAGAACAAAAUUUAUUUGCUCUUCACUUCCAGAAAGAAGAAGAAUAACAUGGCUAAGGCUAGCUUGUUUCUAGUUGUUGCUCUUCUUCUCAUCAUUUCCCUGGCUGAGAGUAAAAAACUCGGCAUCGGGUUUGGAAAUGACAAUAGAGCAGUAGUUUGCAAUUCCGUUUAUGGUGCAGAAGCCGGUGAUACUUGCGGUAGCGUUGUCAAAAAGUUCAAAUUGACUCUCCAAUCCUUCCUUAACGUCAAUCCUAAUAUCAACUGCAACAGCUUCUUUGUGGGUCAAUGGCUUUGUACCGAUGGAACUGCAAAGUGAUGAUCAAGUUGCAACAGUUUCAUGACCGAGGACAAAUAAUUGUAUGAAUGAAGAGGAUUAGCUAGCUUUAAUGCCUCUUUCUCAAUGCAUUGUUUUCUAUUGUUUCAUCUCUUUGAUAAUUGUAGUUUUUCUUCUUUUUUAUAAAAAAGAAUGUUGUUAUUAUCACCACCAGUGUGCAAUGCAAUGCUCUGUAUAAGGCAGCAGCAACAGUUUCCAAUC